rnacentral:lncRNA from 1 species
AAGAGCUUUCUCUAGGAAAUCCAGUAAGCAAGGGCUAAUCACCAUUUCCUCUGGCAGCGACUGAAGUGCAACCCAUGCAUACAGUUUAGCAGUUUUCACUCCACCGCUUCCUUUUCCUUUGGCAUACAAUUUGGACUCUUUGGAAAGGGUUCUUGGCAAAGAUGAUCCUCGAGAAGUAUUUGGCGAUUCAGUCUUUAAAGUCUUAGAGUUGUAGUGUAACUUUACAUCCACCCC